GAACCAGCGAGGGCAAUCAACAUUGAUGGAACUGGAUUCGUUGAUAUGGAAGCAUCAGUAUUCCGGAAACUUCAAGAGGCCCAUAAGAGGAAGCAAUGUGGAUAACUGGUGCUUUGCGGAACAUGAGCUUGCAACUUGCAGAGUACAUUUUGUUGUCACAAGUCACGCCAGCUGAGGAUCAUCAGGAGUUCAGGACAGUUCAGAUACAUAGUCAGAACAAGUUUCAGGUUUCGUUGCUGAUAUAUUGUUGUGAGUUACUCACAUGCCUGUCUCAAUUUGUACCCAGUUACCGCCAUGUGUGCUUGUACCUCAACUCUUGUAUUCUUACAGGUCUGUUUGGAGUAUUUCAUAUCUUAGAUAUUACAGGCAGUUUUGUUUAGAAGUGAAAAGAAAAUGAAGCCCUCACAAUCAUACUUGCAUUUUCGACCGCACACUUAUUAUUCACGGUAGAUGCCUAUUUUGGUUGGUUC